CCCUCGCGCCGCGCUUUGUGUCACCCCUCCGUUAACGGUUUAACCUAGUAGUCGCGGCCGGAUUCCGUUUUCGCGCGUGCAAGUCGGCGGUGCCUCCGUCUCCCUCUCCACCUUCCGCCGGUGCCCAGUCCUCGCGCUACCUGCCGCGUUGUAUCCACCAGAGAAAGUUGAGUUGAAGCUGCAACGAUAAAAUCGACCAGCGAGUUAAAUCCUCUGCUUGAUCACCAAGCCCUCUAUUCUGCCUUUGAGGGUUUAAGCGGCAGGCAUUGGUGACAUCAGCGACGGGUGACACAAGGGUGGAGGAACUAAGAGAGGAAGAAGGUUUGGAUAUGGAUAUUUCUUUUGAAGAUGGGAAAAGGUUAUGGUCUCUCAUGUGGAACAAAGAAGAGCUGAUCACAAGGAAAAGGAGAUUUUUUAUGGGAUCAGCUUCUACAUCUGAAGGGAGCCCAAAGAAGCAUAAAAGACCCAAACUUUUGACAGAAUCGUACUUACUAGAGUCAUAUGUUAGGAAUGAUGACCUGCUAUCAGAACAGUUGACAAAUAUUAUUGGAAACCCAAUAAAUUAUCAUGAUGACAAGUCUCUGCAUUACACACCCACCUCUAGUCUUUGUCUUUCAUCAGUUUCCAAUAUGUUGGAAGAGCUGGAUGAAAUGUCCUAUCAGGAGCUUACUGCAACAAACAGAAAACUUCGAGGUGUAUCACUGCUCCCUCAAUUUCCACCUGCUCGGUGUACUGGAAAUAGAGGUUUGCUAAUUAAACGGGUGAAGAAAAGAUUCAAUAAAUUGCUGUUAAAACUCAAGGAUGGGGAUGCAUUGCCAGAGCCAUUAGUUAAAGCAUUGUCCAUUAUUUACUUGUCUUACACGCAUAGAUCCUGACAUGUUGAUAUGCUAACAUCAGAGUUUUACCCCUUUCCACCAGAGACAGUGGACUUGCAAAAUGAUAUCAUGAAUGCCCUUUGGUUGCUUCCGAAGGUUAAACAUGAUGAGCUGAAAGCAUUGCAUGCAUUAAUGGAUCCAAAAGCUGAAGUUCCUCUAAAGUGUUUCAGGAAUGUGCUCAGGAAAUACUUGAUGGAAUAUUUGUUUGAAUGUAGCGAAACAAGUAUCACACAGGAAGCAUUGAGAACCAUUGAUUUUAUAAACAGGAAGAUGCACAGUCAGACUCUUGUGUUCUCUAAAGAGACAAUACAAGAGGAGGUUGAAGCUGCAUUGAUCAUGAGUCGUUGGCUUAAACAAAUGAUAUCAAGCGUUUUUUCAGAACGAAGUGACAAACAAUGUUUUGUGGGGUUUGGUAAUGACAAAAACAUUAAUUCUUUUAAUAUGGUUGGAACCGACUAUUUCAUGGGUCUUGGUGACAAUGAACAUGAACAUAUGUACAGUUCUUGCUCUAAUUAUGAAGCAGAAACUACUGGGGAAUCAGGACCAGGCGUUUCUAGAUCAUUCACCACUGGUAGCAACUCUUUUUUACUCACUGGGACUGGCAAUCAAACUAGUGGUAAUAACUCAACAAAGCCUGAAGUUGAACAUGACAAUGAAAUUGACAUAGAGAAACCUUGUAUUGAGGAGUUAGAAAAGUUUACUCCUGAAAGGACUUCCCAAAACACAGGAAAUAUGGGAGUAAAGUCAGUCGAAGAAAUCUGUGAUGAGACAACAUUGGUUGCUUAUAAACUUAUUGUCUCUAUGCUAGAUAAAUUAUUAAAAACAGAAGGCAUGCAUGCAGAUAUGUCAACAAGAAUUUACUUGAAUGGUGGCUCAUCAGCUUCUGCGGAUUUUCAAGGUGCCAAAGAUAUGUUGAAAACUUCGAAAGAGCAGAUGAGGUCUAUUAUUUUUUUAUGAACUGUUGAGGAGCUAAUACCUUCUUUGACAAAGAGUUGUAUCAGAAGAGUGAAGAAUUUGAUGGAGAGCUGAUAUAGAUUUCUUUCCCAAGAUGAUUCAAGUUUGUAAAAGGAGCAUAGUUGCUGGCAGACCCCAGAGAUCAUCUGGAGUCAAUGACAUCAUGCACUCCUCAGAGUCCAAAAUUGGAAUCAAAUAAAAAAUUCCCAACUGGAGAAACUAUAAUUUUUGUAAACUAGUUAAUGCACUGGUGACUUGAAUCUCACUCUCUCACUGUCUGUUCAUUUCUCUAUCUAUCUGUAAAGUUCAGUAGGUUUAUGUACUGUUUUUGCUUUUGUUUGUUUGAAUUUUUCUUUAGACAUACAUUUAAGUGUUCAUAGAAUUUAUGCCUUUGUCAGGUUUGAUGCAUGAUACGAUGAACAUAGUAAUAUCUUCUUCUGAUCGAAAACAUAGUGGCUUUGAUGCAGUAGCAAUGAACUUUGAGUUUUAUGGAAUUCCGGUCAUGCAUUGCCUAUAUGGUACUGGAACAAAUGUCCGAGGGUCUAUCCACCCUUUUGCAUACAAUUGACUAGUACUAGAUGACAUGAACCGAUGAUUCUUUUGCUUGCUAUUCUUAUUUGUUACUAGCACCUAAACUUGGACAUUUCCGGUACAAACUGCCAAAUCUUCUGGACAUCUUUCUUUGACCAACAGAAUCUGUUAUGUUGUAUAUUUCUCAGUAAAUGUUUGUUACUUUGCCAUCAAAUGGUUCUCUUCAUUUGAACUUACAUGGAGCAGGUACUGAAUCCCUGAUAAUGUUUACAAGAGCUUCUUAAAGCUGCAGAUCGACUUCUUACCGUGAACCUUUGAAGUUUAAUACAGACUUAGGUUCCAGUGUCUCUCUUGUUCAAUCACCAGCAAUGGAGAUACUAGGUAUGCUUUUACUGCUUUAUACCUGUUUAUUAUCAUUGCAUCAUUAAAUCUUUGUUCGUGUUAGUUUUGGUUACUCAAGCUCGAGAACCAGAAGCGUUCUCCAUACGGAAAGGACCUCCAUUCAGCAACGGUCAACCACUUGUCAAACUUGAGAGGGUUCGUUGCUCUGCUGCAAGGUUCAGCAGAGAUAGAUCUAGGCUUGUGGUGACCAAAAGCAACUCUGCCAUCGGUGUUCAAGAUUGUUGUAGUUUCACUGCAGAUCCUUUGAGAUAGUUCCCACAUGGAGACAAAGUGGCAGCAAGAAGGGAUGGUAUCUCCAGACAUUCCAUAAAUCCACUACACCACUGGAUAAGAAUGUUGUGCUGUGGACAGUCCACACUAGUGCAUCUAUGUAUCAGCAUUUCCAAAAUAACAUGUCUAAGUACACAUGGUUUGGAUCUGUGAGUCUCUUUCUUAUGUAGAUGGUAUAAUAUGUGAAAUGAUUAUUUGAUAUUAAUUAAAUUCUCAGGCCAUCAAUUAUAUUCAGUUCUGAUGAAUCUGUUGCCUGUCGAGUGGCAACAAAUGAGAUUCAGUUCCUUGACUGAAGGAUUUUUCUAAAGGAACCAUUUAUUGGUUAAGACCACCUGUUGUUGCUGCAACUGAGCUGUCAAAGACUUCUGGGUCUUACAUUGCAGCAUUUGUACCAGAAUCAAAGUUUGUUAAUCCUAAUCUAUCUAGGCAAUAUUUAUGCAAAAAUUUGGUUCUGAUAACAUUUUGUCUUCUCGCUCAGGGUAUUCCUACCAGUGUUCAAAUCUUUUAUUGUUAUAAGGAUGCACAAUCUCAGCCCAUUGCAAGAUGGAGUUUCUUUUGCUGUUUCACGGUGGCAUUCCAUUGGAAAAAGAUUUCUUCUGGAGUUCUAGCAGUUGCUCAAUCUGAUGUUGAUAAAAGCAACCAGAGUUGCUAUGGUGAGUCUAAAUUGAACUAUUUAACAACUGAUGGAAGCCAUGAGGGGCUUGUUUCUCUUUCUAAGUUUUCAGUUGGGUUUCUCAAAUCUUAUAAUCCCUAGAAUUAGCAAAGUCGACUGGUGUGAUUGAUUGUAAUAAAAUGGCACCGUGCAUGAUGUUCAA